UUCAACGGGAUUUCUUAGCAUCGUAGUAAUGUGAGAUUUUGCAAUACUAAAGGAGUACGGUGCAAUUUUUGUCAAUAAUAUCAUAUGAAUUUUUCCCUACUCCGAUCUUACCAUCACGUGUUUCGUCGCAAUUAACGCGUGUUAGAGGGAUUGUCACGAGGAUCGACUCAGUGGCUGAGAUGAUAUGAUGGGAUGCCCUCAAAGGAUUGAUGACAUUAUGAACACAUGUACUUAUGCACGACACGAUAUUCAUACAGAUAUGCAUGCCACUCUAAGUAUUUCAUUAUUUACAGAGUUGUCCAGACUUACAGGUACCGAUAGACAAGUCGAAACCCUCCAAGUAGGUUAUCAGCUCAGCGGAAGAUGUUGGUCCGCUCCAUUUGCUUAAGAGUUGCUUGUUUGACUAGUAUGAUUUAGACGUAUAUUGUUUGGUAUGGCAGGACUCUGUCCCGACCUUUAUUAAAAUUAUGUAUUCUUAGAGGCCUGUAAACAGAUGCCAUAUACGUAAAAGAUUGUAUGGCCUUGUCGUCCUAUGUUUGGUGUACGUGUGGCUAUUUUGCUCUUCUGAGGCCGUAUGUCUUGUGUAUUAGUUGGUAUCACAUGUUAUAUUCUACUUAUC